rnacentral:rRNA from 1 species
GAUGAACGCUAGCGGCAGGCUUAACACAUGCAAGUCGAGGGGUAGAGGCUUUCGGGCCUUGAGACCGGCGCACGGGUGCGUAACGCGUAUGCAAUCUGCCUUGUACUGGGGGAUAGCCCAGAGAAAUUUGGAUUAAUACCCCAUAGUAUUUUCGGUUGGCAUCAACUGAUUAUUAAAGUUUUUCGGUACAAGAUGAGCAUGCGUCCCACUAGCUAGUUGGUAUGGUAACGGCAUACCAAGGCUACGAUGGGUAGGGGUCCUGAGAGGGAGAUCCCCCACACUGGUACUGAGACACGGACCAGACUCCUGCGGGAGGCAGCAGUGAGGAAUAUUGGUCAAUGGUCGCAAGACUGAACCAGCCAUGCCGCGUGCAGGAUGAAGCAUCUAUGGUGUGUAAACUGCUUUUGUACGGGAAGAAACACUCCUACGUGUAGGGGCUUGACGGUACCGUAAGAAUAAGGAUCGGCUAACUCCGUGCCAGCCGCCGCGGUAAAAC